AUGAAGAUAAAACCUCAUCUACAUCUUGGAUGGCCUGAGGAGCAGCCAGGAAUCACCAUCACAAUGACCUUUCUCCACAACGGAGGCAUAAAGCAUAGUCCGGACCAAACACAUCAAGCAGGAAUGAGUUGUAGUAGCAGUGCACAUGUGUUAAAUGUGUGUGUGUCAGCUGGACUGGUCCCAGCUGCACCGGGUCAUGGCACCAACUCGUAUAAGACUCAAACUCCUCCAGGCGAUUUGUCCCAGCCUGUUGCCAUAUGCAUCCUCCUCAUUCCCUGGGGUCCGUCCCACAUGGUGCCGUCGUGGCAUGCGGACGCAGAGGUUGUAGAGGACAUGCUGGCUUCUCUGGUCACGCUGAUAUUUGUGUCGCCUGCUGACAGUUGGCCUCACACACACACGCACAGUGUCAUUGUCUCGGGCCGGAGAUGCAGACUGACACUGCUUCACUACGCAUCUGGCAUCAAGAAAAGGCAGCAUGCAGAGGAAUUUCCAUAAGAGUUGUCCAGGACAGGCAUUCGUCCAACACUGAGCUGUUGUCUCAUCUGUAAGUGACAAAAUUCAGAUGCUGCGACAUGUUGUUUAUGUGCUGAGCUGCAUGGCAGAGGCAGCAGGGCUUGCCACAAACUUUUGAUUUAUUAAACAACUCGCCUUGCCACGCCUGGAAAUGUACUUGACAUUACUAAAAAAAAAAACCUGGGUACUGUCGUCUGGCUUGGCUUAUCCAACGAGCGAAAAAUUACAACAGGAUAUAACAGUAAGCACAAGGACGGAGGUAUAUGAGCACACGUUUAAAGCAUACACCUCUACUGCAAUAUGCAUAAAAUGAUCUAUAAGUUAAAACCUGGACAUGUGGCGACCCAGCAAAAAUAUAGUAGACUGUGACAACAAUGAUAUUGGCACAUAGAUAGAUACACACACACACACACACACACACAUAUACAUACAUAUAUAUGUAUGUGUAUGCACAAAAAUGUAAUAAUCAGUGAUCAGUAAUGUUUUUAGAGAAAUUAAUACUUUUUUAAUUUUAUUAAUACUUUUAAUGCUUUUUAUUCACCAAGGACACAUUAAAUUGAUCAAACGUAAAAACACUUAC
ensembl:lncRNA